AGUGAACGCUGGCGGUAGGCCUAACACAUGCAAGUCGAACGGCAGCACAGUAAGAGCUUGCUCUUACGGGUGGCGAGUGGCGGACGGGUGAGGAAUACAUCGGAAUCUACUUUUUCGUGGGGGAUAACGUAGGGAAACUUACGCUAAUACCGCAUACGACCUACGGGUGAAAGCAGGGGAUCUUCGGACCUUGCGCGAUUGAAUGAGCCGAUGUCGGAUUAGCUAGUUGGCGGGGUAAAGGCCCACCAAGGCGACGAUCCGUAGCUGGUCUGAGAGGAUGAUCAGCCACACUGGAACUGAGACACGGUCAAGACUCCUACGGGAGGCAGAAGUGGGGAAUAUUGGACAAUGGGCGAAAGCCUGAUCCAGCAAUACCGCGUGGGUGAAGAAGGCCUUCGGGUUGUAAAGCCCUUUUGUUGGGAAAGAAAAGCAGCAGGUUAAUACCCCGCUGUUCUGACGGUACCCAAAGAAUAAGCACCGGCUAACUUCGUG
rnacentral:rRNA from 1 species